CUGAGAGAGAUGGGACCCACAACAGCCAGCAGGCAGCAGGAGCCCCAGGACAGGACUGGAUCCCACUUCCCAGGACCUACCACUCGUCAUGUGAGACACUUUGGCGAGCUUCUUCAUGACGUUGUCAAGGCGCGACUGAGUGCUGUCCAGCUCGUGGGAGAAGUCAUCCAGCAUCCUGAGGACACAGAAGCAGGGCACUGGUCAGCACGUGGCACAUCCCUUGGGAAUUGUGCACCAUGCUCACACACGUAGAUCAAAACACUGAUGUGAGCAGAGUAUCACACCCUGGCAGACAAAAUGAAUGUGGCCUCCUCUCCUGGAAGCACCCAAGGGAGGGGGAAAAGCUGCUGAAACAGCAGCUCUGCUUUGGUGGGAAGUAACUCGGGAUUCCUGCCAGACUGAUCCUCCCUGGGUGUUUGUGGCUGAACUCUGCACAUAUCUGCAAGGUGAGGAGUGGGGGAGGGGCUUCCUCCUUACAAAAGGAAAGUCUCAUUUAUAAUCUGUGAUUAGCAUCUACGUGUCAGCUUGGGCUUUAAAUCCCUUUUCUUGGUCAGGGCUUGCAGUUUAAACUAAAAUCUUGUUUCAGUCAUGUCUCAAGUGGGAAUGAGAUCUGCAGUUGCUUUUAAGGUGCUUUUCAGGCUCUGCAUGGAAGUUACCCUUUUACUUCCUCCAGACAGUGACUGUAAUGGAUCUGAAAGCCUUCCUGAAUCCAUGCUUUGUCCGUGCCAGUGCGCAUCCAGAGUCAAGGUACUAAUCCAAUUGUCUCCAGCCUGUGGGACUUUAAAGCUUAAUGCAUUUAAAAGGACAGACUCCUUCAUUUGGAGUGCCAGGGCACUUGUUAAACCUUCAUUCAGUGGGGAAAACCUCACUGUGGUAGUUAAGAGCUAAUCGUGCAAGCACUGAUGGCUUGUGUGAUGAUCUAGAAACAGACACACCACACCAAUCUCCUCUGUGAGGGCAGAGGAUUCUCAUGCUGCACACCUUCACACAGGAGGGAGCUUGAAAGUUCCUCCUCUCCAUCCAAGAUGAAAUCACUUCAUAAGGGACAUGGCCCUCCAGACUACUACCAGCCAAACAAGGAGGGGUUUUAGCCCUUCAAGCCUUUCUGGAAGCAUAGCUGUUAGCCUGCACAACUGGGAACUUGUUUGCAAAGGACAAGAACUGGGUAAGAAAUCUAAUUUAUAUGUAAAUGGAUGGAUGGAUGGAUGCAAAAUGACUUGGUGAGCUGCCCUUUAACCCUUUGCGUGGGUGAGGGUUAUUUUUAACUUCAGUGAUGAAGAGCAGCUCUGUGCUGUGUGUUUCAGGGCACAGCUGAGAGCUCCUGGCCCCAGCAGCUGUCCAGGGGCAGCACAAAACCCUGCAGAGUGGAGAAGUAGCCAGCAUCUGCAUUGCUCAGCACCUCCCUCCCUUAUCUGCUGUCUGCCUGAGGGGGAGCGUGUGAAAAGGAGAGGAAAGGUGAGGUGGCAGUCAGGCCUGCCCUAGAUGCAGGCUUCUAAAGGAAGGAGGUUGCAGUGGGAUCCUUGCAGAUUGCAGUACAAAAUGCUUCCCACAGGCUGGCAGGGAGAGGCUGCCUGAGGGACCAGUGAACUCCAGGCUCUACCAGAGGCAGACAGAUGUGUGAGGACACCCAGCCAUGUUGCAGCCAGCCCUGUGCCAGGUUUUUGCCACCACACUUACACUGCUUGCUCUUCCAGCUCCCCGCCAAUGCGCUGGGACAUGUUCUUGAGCACCCCGAUGCUGCCAGAGACCAGCUCCAACUGCUCAUCCUGCUGCUCCACAAUCAGCUGGGGCCAAACAGAAGAGAAGAGAAGUGGGCAAUUACAGAUCUGCUGCCUGCAGCUGGCUUGGAGCCAGCCCAUCCACUGGACAGGCACUUGCUGCUCAGCCAACAUCAGCUGUGAGACCUGGGCUCAGACCUAAGCCACCAGGAAUGAGGACUGCAUUCCUGAGAAAUGCUGGAGAGGAGACAACCAGGGAAAGACUCCACGGCAUGGCAUCCCCAUGGCACAGCAGGCUGCAGCCUCCAGACAUCCCUGCAAAUCCAGCCUCAGCUCAUCCAUGCUGCAUGCACAGCUAAAGUGACUUUGGAAAGCUCCAAAGGUCAUCAAAACCUUGGCAAGGUGAGUAGGCAGGGAGGCACACUGAUGCUGUGCCUGGGAGAUGCCACCUGGAAUGUGCUGCAGCUAACAAGGGGUUAAUGCAAGCAGAAGGCUGUUGCAGCUUCUACAGCUAAAAAUAGCCAGCCAGGCUCUGAAUGUGCCAAAGGAAUAAGUCUGCUGCUGUUUUAAGUCAUUUUCAGGGCACAGUCACGCUAAGGAUUAGCUUUACCCUAGUUACCUAUUUCUGAAGCUAUUUAUCCCCCUGGAGUCAGUAGGUAAAACGUGUCUGGAAGCCGAGGUGGCACCAUGGGCCAGGAGCUUCAGCAGAGUCUGCCACCUCCAAGUCACUGCCUGUGUCAAGGCCCUGCAGUUCUCCAGGCUGUGCCUGGCCUGGGCACUUCUCCAGGCAAACUCCCCUGGCAGCUGGAAGUGCAGCUGGGAAGUGCCUCUCCAGGGGUUCUCCCAAGGCCUCACACAGCCCUUCUCACUAAUCUCACGGUGACAAAAGCAGGAAAAGGAAGCAGGCGCGUGCUCCUGCUCCCAGCCCGGUCUGAUGGGAGAUGCACACAAACAACACCAAACAUUUUUUAACCAGGGGAAGUUGCAUAAGACAAAUGGGCCCUUUUCACAGUGUUUCUACUCUUCCAAUGAUUUCACCAAUCCUUGCACUAUUAAAUUCUAGUGUGCUACACCUUCCAGAUUGUGCCAACUGCCUCCUAAACGCAGCAGAAGCCCCACACCUCCAGGGUUAGAACCUUGUGCAGAGAUCACCCAAAGCUGUGCUGCACAGGACAUGCAGGCACAGACACAUGCCACAAGCAAAGAGGACUGUCAGGCUCCUGGAGCCAGACCAGCCCCCCUGGCACCCAUUUGGCAAGCAAAGCUAUUUAGUCUGUGAUGGCAGCUGCCUUACCUGUUGUUGAGCUUGCUGCUCCUCGAUGAAAUGUGAAUUUGCUAAUUGCAGCUCCCGGUCCAGACGGCUGUACUUGUCAUGUCCAGAGCUCCAACUCUGACUCCCACUCUCUCCCAGCAGUGCCUGAACAGAUGCAGAGAGCUCUUAGCAACACCCUUGUGUCUGCUCACAGCCCGUCUGCAGCGUGAGGUGGGAAGGCAGACAAGGCAACACUCGUGUACACACGCACACAGCAUCCCUUCCCUCCUGCUCUGCUGCUACUCAGCCAAAGUGCUGUCAUGAACUACACCAACACAGAGCCAAAAUGCCAGCCUGGGAAGCCUCUGCAGCCUGGGAUUGCAGAGAUGCCUCUCCAGCAGCAGGAGAGCUGGAGUGUGGCUGACUGGCAGUGUGUGCAAGAGGCCUGCACAGCACAAAGGACUGGCAGAGGCCUGCUCCAGAGGCAGCACUGUGUGCUAGGACAUGUGAGCUGGGAAAGUGUCUGGGUAUGCUGUGUUAACAGAUGUACAGCUCCAUCUGAGCACUCUGCUGCUAAUGACAGGGGCCUAAGAGGGUCUCGAUAAAGUACUUAACCAGUUGAGCUGACAGUAAAAUAAUGCAAUGUAUAACCAGAGCAGGGCUGUAUGCUUGUGUUCUGUGAUCCAGGCUGCCUGUCUCUCCAGCAGGCUCUUCAGCUGCCAGCAUACAGUUACUCUUGCUACCUGCCUACAACCUGAACAGAUAAACUCAUGCAAAGCCUGCAGAGAUGUGUUCUCCAGCCAAAUAUAUCUGAAAGGGGAAUAACCCAAGCGACAGAUGCUGGAGAAUGAAGAUGACCUGCAUGUGAGGAGCUGCACCUUGCAGCACUAGGGAAGGGUUAGGGACUCUGCCCUCCAGUGUGGAAGCCAGGCUGACCUGUAAUGAGACCAUCCUGCAGCUGGUUGUGGGCAGGAUGAGUAUUUGUGAAGAACAGCAAGACAAUGACCAGGCUGCUCUGUCAGGCUGAAAACCAGACUGUGUCUAGGGUGCAUCUGACUUACAAGGUUCAAGGAGGGGUGAGGAAAGCUGACAGACUGACCAUGCAGGAAGCCAGCAGGACAUCUGGCUUUUUCUGCCCCCAAGACACUGAGCAAGCUCCUGGUCCCUCCAGUUUGUGGCAAGGGCAGCUCCUUUUUAUUUAGUGCAGUGCUCUAGCUUUGCCUGCAGCUUCAAUAGAAAAGGCCUGUUUGGCAGCCUGGGCUGUGAGGGUCAGGUCCCUGCCAGCCAGCCCCUCAGACACAAAGCCCAGCACAAGCCUUGCAGUCUGGAAUGAAGGUGAGGGGCUGGGAAGGGAGAGGAAGGCAGCAAGGGGAAGUUGAUUUUCCUGACCAGAUGUCACUGUGUGAGCUGGGCCAUAUGGUCUCCUGCAGCUCUCAGGAACUUCAUGCAAAGGAAAGCAGCAAAUCGCAGGGAAAGCUACAGACUUGUUUGAGCAAGGGUGUCAGGGACUUUGUUGCUGGGAGUGUUUGCCAAGCAUGUCAAUUAACCCUGAGACAAGCUCAGGAAUGAGUUCUGUGCUUCCCGGUUUGUUGUUUUUGCCACGUGUGGUGAGGCUGAUGCAGUACAGACAAUUAAGUGUAUGAAGCACACACCAGCUUUUACUGGAGUGGGUCUGGAAGUCAGCUGCAGUAUCUCCUUACAGCCUCUCCAUCAGCCAGCAAGCAGCACGAGCUGCAUCUAUUUCUAUUCCUUAGAUUACAAGUGCAGACAACACCAGACUCCUGGAGCUCCUUCCAUCUUCUUACACGGCUAUUACGAGAAGGAGCUGCAUGAAAGGAUAUUGCACCAUCUUGGCUCCUAAAUCCAGCAGAGUGCAGGAUUACAGUCACUGACAUGGAUUCUGAGCUGCUUCCCCCCGAGGAGGAGGAGGAGGGAGAUUUCCCUUUCCAUGGGAUGGCGCAAUGCUGACAGCUGUAAACAACCAGCUCUGAAGACAGAGACAGAUGGUGAGUGCUGACUUACUGCUCUGAGAGAGGCUUGGGAGAGGCUGGCAGCCUGUGAGAACCAGCUCUCCCAGGGCAGCCAAAUGGACACAGCUCAAACACAGCCUGGGAGCCCCUUCCCACACCCAAGGAUUGUAAGGGGAAGGAUUCCAGACAGGAUAGACAUUGUAGCAGAAAUACAUUGCUCAUUUCUGGCUCUCACCUGCCUGUUUUUUCUUUCAGCCAGUGCUUGCAUGGAUGAGUUUGACAUCUGAUCCUUCAUGUCCUGUUCAACAAAAGAAGGAGCAUGUGAGCAUUGGAUUUGAGAUGACAGGCAAAUUCAGGCUGCUACAGGGCUGUUUAUACCCAGCAAAGCUUCUACAAGGGGGAAAGAGGGAAGGGAGAUUUUCUUUGAAAACCCACACUUUUGAAGAGUCUGGAAACAUACUGUAGAAAUUUUCAUUGUUAUACUAAUACUGGAAUCAACAGCAUUGGGGUAUUUUGAAAAUAUUCCUCAUUUACUACUCAAUUUUCUCCACUACAACCAGAACAUUGAUUUGUACAAUAAAAGAAUGUUCCUGUUGACAGAA